GUGGGGAAUCUUGCGCAAUGGGCGAAAGCCUGACGCAGCCAUGCCGCGUGAAUGAUGAAGGUCUUAGGAUUGUAAAAUUCUUUCACCGGGGACGAUAAUGACGGUACCCGGAGAAGAAGCUCCGGCUAACUUCGUGCCAGCAGCCGCGGUAAUACGAAGGGGGCUAGCGUUGCUCGGAAUUACUGGGCGUAAAGGGCGCGUAGGCGGACAGCUUAGUCAGAGGUGAAAGCCCAGGGCUCAACCUUGGAAUUGCCUUUGAUACUGGCUGUCUUGAGUACGGGGGAGGUGAGUGGAACUCCGAGUGUAGAGGUGAAAUUCGUAGAUAUUCGGAAGAACACCAGGGGCGAAGGCGACUCACUGGCCCGUUACUGACGCUGAGGCGCUAAAGCGUGGGGAGCAAACAGGAUUAGAUACCCGGGUGUCC
rnacentral:rRNA from 1 species